AUUGAACGCUGGCGGCAUGCCUUACACAUGCAAGUCGAACGGUAACGCGGGGCAACCUGGCGACGAGUGGCGAACGGGUGAGUAAUGCAUCGGAACGUGCCUGGUAGUGGGGGAUAACUGCUCGAAAGAGCAGCUAAUACCGCAUACGACUUGAGGAUGAAAGGGGGGGAUCGCAAGACCUCUCGCUAUCAGAGCGGCCGAUGUCGGAUUAGCUAGUUGGUGGGGUAAAAGCCCACCAAGGCGACGAUCCGUAGCUGGUCUGAGAGGACGACCAGCCACACUGGGACUGAGACACGGCCCAGACUCCUACGGGAGGCAGCAGUGGGGAAUUUUGGACAAUGGACGCAAGUCUGAUCCAGCCAUGCCGCGUGCGGGAAGAAGGCCUUCGGGUUGUAAACCGCUUUUGUCAGGGAAGAAACGCUCUGGGUUAAUACCUCGGGGUAAUGACGGUACCUGAAGAAUAAGCACCGGCUAACUACGUGCCAGCCGCCGCCGUAACAC
rnacentral:rRNA from 1 species